CACCCCCUUCUGGACUCUUCUAAAUAGCACAUGAGAUACUGUAAUGCGUGUCAGCAUAGAUAUCAUUAAAUUUGGAAUAAUUUGUGUGGAGUCAGUCUUCUUGGAUGUGUAACUCAUGAAUCGAAAGUUGAGGAAUAGAUCGGUUUUCUGAAAUAGCUGCAGUUUUGAACACCUGACCCAGGGUCACAGGGCACAGAGGGUCCCAUUCGGGAGCAAAUCCACAACCCGAGACUCAGAAUCACAACAGGAGACCAGACGACACCUUCUGCAGGGUUUGCCUUGGAUUCAGGAGCCUAGGAUCCUGGGAAGCUGUUGCCCAUCCCUGCCCAAGGGGACUGUCACCUUCUGGGCCUCCAGAAUGAGGGUACCGGUGCCCACGUGUGUGCACAGAGGACCUCGUGGACCUGGACGCAUGUACACACCAAGGAAGAACGUGUGGGUGGAGAGCUCCACCCGGGACGUGGGGCGCGAGCGGGAGGAAGGGGUCGUCUGCCCCACCGCCUCCAGGAGCAGGGAGGUGCCCUGCGCAGCUACCAGAGGCCAGCGCGGGCUCAGGGGUGCUGGGGCCGCGGCCAGGAAGGGGCAUCAGAUUGUCCCGAAGAAGCUCAGCCGGACGGAGCUGCUGGGGCACGAAGACCGACAACUGCUGCUCGCCUUGCAGCGCAGGGACGUCAUCUCCAUUUGCAGCUUCUUAGACGAGUAUCGUGGAUUCGCCACCACGGAGGAGGUGCUGGACCUGCUGUUCACCGAAUAUGGGUACAUCGUAGCUGCAUGUGGUGACGACGACACGGUCCAGCGUUGGAAACUGUGAGUGACUCCGGCUCCUGCAGGAGGGCCUUCCCUCUCCAGGAGGGCAGCGAAGGGGCUGUGGGGCGGGGGGGCGGCUGCACCCUCACCUCACACAUCUGCAAUUCCUGUGACAGAGUAAAGGUCUAAGGCCCCUUCUGGAAAAGAGGGCAGGAGAGCCAGGAUGGGGUGCGGUCUUGGUGGGAGACACUGGGACCCCUAAGGAGAACUUCUCCAUGCCCCCCAACCCUCUCUCUGCCCCACACCUGGGGCCCAGAGCAGAGGGGGUGGGGAGCAUCGCACUCCCCAAUCUGGUGGCACCUGGACCUGGGGGCACAGCAGGUGCUCAGGAGGGCUGGUGAGGCCUCCAGACCAGGCGGCCCCCACCCUGUGGGAGAUGAGAGAUUAGAGUCAGUGGAAGGACACCCCCGGGGGCCCCUCUGGAGGGAGGCAGGCCAGAGCCACAGGAGGGAAGGUGGCGGUCCUGGGCGGCUCCUGGCAAGGCCUGGCAGGACACAGAGCCCGAGCCCUCCUGCCUUGGAGCUUCCCAGAGCGACAGUGUGUGCAGUGAGGGCAAUGACAGGCCAGACGCCCCCAGUCCCCGGACGCCUGCCGGUGGACUCAAGGGGCAGGUGGGCAGGGACCAGGCUGAGGAGGGAGUCCCGCUUCCCCAGGAGAGACGGUGAUGGUCACCCCGCUGGGCGUGGGCUCCCCAGAACAGAGGCUGCAUAUCAGCCCCUCCUCAGGGAGCAGGCCUGUGGCAGGCAGGUCCGCCAGGUGGCAGGGGCACAAGGAGCAGGACUGGCCUCUGACACCCCGCACGGGAGGCCGGGUCCCCGGGUCCUGCACGGCUUCCCCGGGACACCUGCAUGUGACAGAGCCCUGUCUUCUGACACCUGUGCCCGCCUGUCCCUCCA
rnacentral:lncRNA from 12 species